ensembl:lincRNA 4930407G08Rik RIKEN cDNA 4930407G08 gene
AGGAGAUUCUCUGGGAAGAUGUGACAAGAUGGGUACACAGCCCCCAAACAGGAAUUCUUCACCCAGUUCAGCAGGAAGCAAUUAUCAGAAGACCGUCGUCCCAAGCCCUUAAGUUGAGUGUGUGACGGGCCAGUGAGUCUGCUUGUGAGUAGAGGAGAUAUUUACCACGCAAGCCCAGCGCUGCGUCAGCCUUUCCAUUCUCGCGUUGUAUGCGGAACGCCUCAUGGGUGCGCGCCAGGGAAGCAUGGGAGUACAGCAAGGUGUAAGCAAGCUCAAGAGAAGCUUGGUCAGGUCUGCGAGUGAGCAAGCAGGAGGCCUGACAGCCUCCAGGAACCCCCACUUUCUUCUAACGGGGCUUGCUUUGCUCUCACCAAGGACAGAAUGUAUUCUGGGAAAUUCAGCCAAGGAACCUCGUGUUCGUUUUAUUCACGUGCCUUCCCCGUAAAGGUGGGCCACUCACAGUGAGAGUAACACAGACAGCGAAGACACUGGCUCCUCUCAGUCUUUCCCUACUCCUCAUUAGGCAUAGUCAGAAAGCACCCGUGGAGUAUGUCUCAUUGAAACGUGAAACACAUGCAGUACUGUGCGGUGUUUUCCGAGGUCUGUUUAAAAGCAAAAUGCAUGCACAUGUGUGGGACACAAACCACAAACCAUGAUUUGAUUCGGGUAAUUCUGAAAUCUGAAUAGAAUUUGAACCG